GUGGGGAAUAUUGCACAAUGGGUGCAAGCCUGAUGCAGCAACGCCGCGUGAGGGACGACGGCCUUCGGGUUGUAAACCUCUUUUAGCAGGGAAGAAGCGAAAGUGACGGUACCUGCAGAAAAAGCACCGGCUAACUACGUGCCAGCAGCCGCGGUAAUACGUAGGGUGCAAGCGUUGUCCGGAAUUAUUGGGCGUAAAGAGCUCGUAGGCGGUUUGUCGCGUCUGCUGUGAAAACCCGAGGCUCAACCUCGGGCCUGCAGUGGGUACGGGCAGACUAGAGUGCGGUAGGGGAGAUUGGAAUUCCUGGUGUAGCGGUGGAAUGCGCAGAUAUCAGGAGGAACACCGAUGGCGAAGGCAGAUCUCUGGGCCGUAACUGACGCUGAGGAGCGAAAGCGUGGGGAGCGAACAGGAUUAGAAACCCUGGUAGUCC
rnacentral:rRNA from 1 species